UGCUUAGUACGGCGAGUGAGCGGCAAAAGCUCAAAUUUGAAAUCUGGUACCUUCGGUGCCCGAGUUGUAAUUUGGAGAGGGCAACUUUGGGGCCGUUCCUUGUCUAUGUUCCUUGGAACAGGACGUCAUAGAGGGUGAGAAUCCCGUGUGGCGAGGAGUGCGGUUCUUUGUAAAGUGCCUUCGAAGAGUCGAGUUGUUUGGGAAUGCAGCUCUAAGUGGGUGGUAAAUUCCAUCUAAAGCUAAAUAUUGGCGAGAGACCGAUAGCGAACAAGUACAGUGAUGGAAAGAUGAAAAGAACUUUGAAAAGAGAGUGAAAAAGUACGUGAAAUUGUUGAAAGGGAAGGGCAUUUGAUCAGACAUGGUGUUUUGUGCCCUCUGCUCCUUGUGGGUAGGGGAAUCUCGCAUUUCACUGGGCCAGCAUCAGUUUUGGUGGCAGGAUAAAUCCAUAGGAAUGUAGCUUGCCUCGGUAAGUAUUAUAGCCUGUGGGAAUACUGCCAGCUGGGACUGAGGACUGCGACGUAAGUCAAGGAUGCUGGCAUAAUGGUUAUAUGCCGCCCGUCUU
rnacentral:rRNA from 1 species